AGACUUGAAGCAGUAAAAUUGAUGCUAUGUAAGAUUUACUCAUAAACUUGCUUAGCAAAUGCCUUUAAUCCCAGCACUCGGGAGGCAGAGGCAGGCGGAUUUCUGAGUUCGAGGCCAGCCUGGUCUACAAAGUGAGUUCCAGGACAGCCAGGGCUAUACAGAGAAACCCUGUCUCGAAAAACCAAAAAAAAAAAAAAAAAAAAAAAAAAAAGAACAUAGAAUUUAGCUAAAGGAGCACUACCUCUAAUUCCGUUGGAAGAUAAAUAGUACAAUUAAGAGAUUUGUUAGAAACUGUAAGAAAGAAAAUUUUGUGCCAUUAUUGAAUGUUAGUCUUGUUGAGAAAGUUUCUGCUGUUUUUUUUACCAGGAUUGACCUCUAUUAGGCUCCAUUCCCAUAACGACAAGAGGCAAUCCUGACUUACAACCAGCAAUUAGUUGUAUCAAAGCUCAAAGUUAGUUGUAUCAAUGCCUCAAAGGGGCAACACAGGGUCACCACCAUUAAGUCCUGUUUUCUGUUGAGUCCCUUUAAGUCUCCUGUGUCUUGCCAGGAAAAGUGUAAUUCUCCAUGGACAAGAUGACCCUGGGUAACAACUAUUUGGGGCCCGGGGGCAGGGGUGGAGGGAGAUAGACACCAGUGUACUUAAGAAGUAAGUUGACAGUAUCUUUAAUGUGUGAAUUUCCCAUCUUCCAUGACCCAAGUAGCCAGUCUUACAGUCAAGUCACCUAUCUCUGUUUAAAUUAUUUAGAAUGUAGCUUUGGGCUCAUGACCUGAAAAAUAUUUAAGGAUGACAGCAUAUGUGAAUAUAUAAGCCUAGGGCCCAUAUAAUAAUUGGUAAAUAUUUUUGUUUGAGGCAAGUUUUCCUUUGGUAUUAGGUAGAACCAUUUGUGUACUAUUAUGAAAGAGUCUUUCCUUAUCUUUCCUGAGUGUGUGGAGUGAAUUCCUACUGGGAAGACAUUUCUAUAAUACUCAGCAAAUGAAAGCAGGUAUAAAGACUGUUAGUUCAAAGCCAGCUUAGGCUCUUAGAGGGAGUUCAAGGCCCGCUUGGGCUACGUGAUGAUACUUUGUCAACAAACAAACUAUAAAAGACCUUUGGUCUUCUGCUUAGAUUUUGUUGUGAAUAGCUCCUAUUAUCAUGCCAAGGACUUUGUAUUCUAUUCUACCUUCUGCUUACAGCUCCUGUUGUAAAUUAUGUGAACAUUUGUGCUGGUAAUAAGCCAUCAAUUCCUUAUAGUACUGCAUUGUUCUGUAAAUGCUUCCAUAUUAUAUUUUUAGCUUGUAUAUUUUUGUCAACUAUUUAAAUAUCUGCUCUCAUUGAGAAUUCAAUCAGGCUUCUUGAAUUAGACAGGUAGUUUAUGGCAGUAGUUCAUUCUCCUGUCUUCCUUCAUUCCUAUCUAUGGAAGCUGAGUUUUCUCUUACCCUCUUAUUUAUCUGGUUCUCCUAAAGAUGUCAUCACAGUUGAGCAUGCCUAAACCUGGAAGGAAGCCCAUAAGGCUACUGCAUGAUAUCCAUCAGAGAAAAAUGUCCCUGACUCUUAAGGCUCUUGAGAAUAGGCUGGUAGUUGGGGUCAGAAAGAAUAACAUCAAUGCUAGCAGAUCCCAGGCACUGAAGACUUCUCCAUGGCCUAAGAGCUAUAUCUUUCUUUCCUAAAGCCCACACACCUAGCAGACUUUAACCAAGUGCAGACCAUCCAGUACUCAAACAGUGAAGACAAAGACAGGAAAGGAAUGCUACAACUCAAAAUCGCUGGUGCUCCUGAGGUAAGGCACUCUUGCUCUUAAAGAAUUUGAUCAAGAAAAAAGGUUGGGUGAGUAGAGAGGUGGAUAGGAUGUGGGAGAGGUUGGAAUGGGGGAAAAACAUGAUUGAAAUAUAUUGAUUGAAAAAUUAAAAUUUUAAAAAAUUUUUUACGUUAAAAUCUGAUCCUUUGAUAAUGUAGAAAUGACUUCUCUGGGAUAAAGAUGAAGUGUUCAUCGGUAAUUAAUCUCACAAUUUCCUAAUAUAUAAAGAUUAAUAUUAGUGGUUAAAUGUCUUCAGAAUAGGAGAGGACUAGAUUUGAAAAACCUAACUAUUGCUGUAAGUAUAAUCAGAGACCACUCUGAAGCAUCAAGGAAGCCAGUUAGAAUUGUGUUGGAAGAGUCCCUGGGCAGUCACUAUGAUAAUAGUACCUGCAACAGAGUGAUAAAAAUAGGAAGGCAGGGCACAGUAGCCACUGCUAUAAUCCCAGCCUUCUGGAUUCCAGGUCAGCUCUCAGCAUGGGCCACAGAGCAAGAUCUCAUCUCUAAACACC
rnacentral:lncRNA from 1 species